rnacentral:rRNA from 1 species
CAGUAGCCACGGGAAUACAGAGGGUGCGAGCGUUAAUCGGAUUUACUGGGCGUAAAGCGUGCGUAGGCGGCUUCUUAAGUCGGAUGUGAAAUCCCUGAGCUUAACUUAGGAAUUGCAUUCGAUACUGGCAAGCUAGAGUAUGGCAGAGGGGGGUGGAAUUCCGCGUGUAGCAGUGAAAUGCGUAGAUAUGCGGAGGAACACCGAUGGCGAAGGCAGCCCCCUGGGCCAAUACUGACGCUCAUGCACGAAAGCGUGGGGAGCAAACAGGAUUAGAGACCCCGGUAGUCCCUGUCUCUUAUAC